UGAGCAAUCUGCCCUUCUCAUCGGAAUAAGCGUUGGAAACGACGUCUAAUGCCGAAUACGACCUCCUUUCGCAUGAUCGGAGGUGGAAAGCUCCGGCGGAGAAGGAUGAGCUCGCGGCCUAUCAGCUUGUUGGUGGGGUAACGGCCUACCAAGGCGACGGCGGGUAGCUGGUCUGAGAGGACGACCAGCCACACUGGAACUGAGAUACGGUCCAGACUCCGUACGGGAGCA
rnacentral:rRNA from 1 species